rnacentral:rRNA from 1 species
UGGGGAAUAUUGCACAAUGGGCGAAAGCCUGAUGCAGCAACGCCGCGUGAGUGAUGAAGGCCUUCGGGUUGUAAAGCUCUGUCUUUUGGGACGAUAAUGACGGUACCAAAGGAGGAAGCCACGGCUAACUACGUGCCAGCAGCCGCGGUAAUACGUAGGUGGCAAGCGUUGUCCGGAUUUACUGGGCGUAAAGGAUGCGUAGGCGGAUUUUUAAGUGAGAUGUGAAAACCCUAAGCUUAACUUGGGGACUGCAUUUCAUACUGGAAAUCUAGAGUGCGGGAGAGGAGAAUGGAAUUCCUAGUGUAGCGGUGAAAUGCGUAGAGAUUAGGAAGAACACCAGUGGCGAAGGCGAUUCUCUGGACCGUAACUGACGCUGAGGCAUGAAAGCGUGGGUAGCAAACAGGAUUAGAUACCCUGGUAGUCCACGCCGUAAACGAUGAGUACUAGGUGUAGGAGGUAUCGACCCCUUCUGUGCCGCAGUUAACACAAUAAGUACUCCGCCUGGGAAGUACGAUCGCAAGAUUAAAACUCAAAUGAAUUGACGGGGUCAUAGCUGUUUUCCU